UCCAGGAAAAGCCUCUAAGCAUCAGGUAACAUCAAAUCGUACCCCAAACCGACACAGGUGGUCAGGUAGAGAAUACCAAGGCGCUUGAGAGAACUCGGGUGAAGGAACUAGGCAAAAUGGUGCCGUAACUUCGGGAGAAGGCACGCUGAUAUGUAGGUGAAGUCCCUCGCGGAUGGAGCUGAAAUCAGUCGAAGAUACCAGCUGGCUGCAACUGUUUAUUAAAAACACAGCACUGUGCAAACACGAAAGUGGACGUAUACGGUGUGACGCCUGCCCGGUGCCGGAAGGUUAAUUGAUGGGGUCAGCGCAAGCGAAGCUCUUGAUCGAAGCCCCGGUAAACGGCGGCCGUAACUAUAACGGUCCUAAGGUAGCGAAAUUCCUUGUCGGGUAAGUUCCGACCUGCACGAAUGGCGUAAUGAUGGCCAGGCUGUCUCCACCCGAGACUCAGUGAAAUUGAACUCGCUGUGAAGAUGCAGUGUACCCGCGGCAAGACGGAAAGACCCCGUGAACCUUUACUAUAGCUUGACACUGAACAUUGAGCCUUGAUGUGUAGGAUAGGUGGGAGGCUUGGAAGUGUGGACGCCAGUCUGCAUGGAGCCGACCUUGAAAUACCACCCUUUAAUGUUUGAUGUUCUAACGUUGACCCGUAAUCCGGGUUGCGGACAGUGUCUGGUGGGUAGUUUGACUGGGGCGGUCUCCUCCUAAAGAGUAACGGAGGAGCACGAAGGUUGGCUAAUCCUGGUCGGACAUCAGGAGGUUAGUGCAAUGGCAUAAGCCAGCUUGACUGCGAGCGUGACGGCGCGAGCAGGUGCGAAAGCAGGUCAUAGUGAUCCGGUGGUUCUGAAUGGAAGGGCCAUCGCUCAACGGAUAAAAGGUACUCCGGGGAUAACAGGCUGAUACCGCCCAAGAGUUCAUAUCGACGGCGGUGUUUGGCACCUCGAUGUCGGCUCAUCACAUCCUGGGGCUGAAGUAGGUCCCAAGGGUAUGGCUGUUCGCCAUUUAAAGUGGUACGCGAGCUGGGUUUAGAACGUCGUGAGACAGUUCGGUCCCUAUCUGCCGUGGGCGCUGGAGAACUGAGGGGGGCUGCUCCUAGUACGAGAGGACCGGAGUGGACGCAUCACUGGUGUUCGGGUUGUCAUGCCAAUGGCACUGCCCGGUAGCUAAAUGCGGAAGAGAUAAGUGCUGAAAGCAUCUAAGCACGAAACUUGCCCCGAGAUGAGUUCUCCCUGACUCCUUGAGAGUCCUGAAGGAACGUUGAAGACGACGACGUUGAUAGGCCGGGUGUGUAAGCGCAGCGAUGCGUUGAGCUAACCGGUA
rnacentral:rRNA from 1 species